UGAAAAUGAGGGGUUUACCCUCAAAUCAAACCCGUAAUACAGCAAUAUUUUCCAGCUAUCAUUUAAAAUAGUGCACAGCGGUUUCCCUGUCAACUGAUGCCCUUAACACCCUGGAAAAGACAGAGUGGUUUCCUUCAGCCAGCACCCUUCAAACCAGAGGUGCAGGGGCAUUCCCCACAGUUUAAACACGCACCGUAAUGGAAAAGGAGUUGCUUCCCUCCAUUUUAAUUUCUUUUGUUCUCAUAGCCCCCAUAUUUUUCUGGGGACACCACGGAGGGAUUAGCAAAAUAAAUUUGCAAACAGGAAGCAGACAAGUCCCCACGACAAAGCCACACUGUCUCACCUGCUCAUCAGCUGCUGCCUCAUACAAAGGUUCAUCCCUUGGCACCUCCUUCAGUAAUGCUCCACAUCCCAGGGCAUAAAGGUGACCCCCAGACCCUGCGAGAUGCUCUCACUGCCGUUCCAUGAGGCGCCCCCAGAAGUUUUGUUUUUGUGGUUUUUUUUUGUUUUUUUUUUUUUUUUGGUGGGGUGUUGUUUUUAGCGCAAGUGUUGAUAAGGUUUAUGAUGGUGUUAUGGGCUGUAGCAUGAAGCACAGGAUAGGUUUUUAAUUAUUUUGUGGUGGCUUUUAUUAUUGUGUUUGUUUUGGUGGGUUUGAGAUAGUAUGUAGCUGAUUUUUUUUUAAUAUUAUAAUUGAAAUAUGCGUUAUGUUAUUUAUAUUGGUUGGUUAUUAUAGGGGUUUUAUGUGUUUGGUUUGUUUGAUUAGUAGUGUAUGUUUUAUUAGUUUUAUUUUUAUAUCAUUGGGCUUUUGUUUAGUAGUAGUAUAUGUUUUAUAGUUACAGAUAUAACAGGAGAUAUUGUUUAUGGUUAUAUUUAUCUUUUGGUUUUGUGUUUAUUUAUAGGUGGUAUUUUUGUAUUGAUGGUUUAAAGCAUAAUGGGUUGAUUGAGUUAGGAGUAAUUUCUUUUGGCAUAGUUAAUUUAGAUUUAUUUAUGCUAUUUUUAUUUUCGUAGUUUGAUUUAUUUGUUUGUUGCUUUGGUUUGUUUUAUUAGUUUUAUUUUUUGGGAACAUGGAUAUUUUACAGAGUGGAUUUUUCUUAGGCAGUGCAGUGGUAUUAAGUUGAGCUCCCCCCUCGCCAGCCGCCAACAGAGACCGUUCGCCGCUGUCGUGAGGACUCCGGAAGUAUUACAGGACGUUGUGAUGAAGCCUUGACCUUUUCCUGUUUGAAAAUGCCAUCCCGGUAACCUUCAGGAGAAGGCAGGCCCACCCUUUGACGAUGGCCUCAGCCUCUGAGCGUGUGGCCCACGGGCAUCGUCAGGAGAUGCUCACUAAGAGACAGCAGCCUGGUGAGUGCAGGAAAGUCCGAGAGGAUGAGGCAGCCUUCCUCUGCACCCAUCGUGGGUUCGCAUCCCCGGACGUCGGAGAGAUAACUCAAGGGUUUAAAUGCAUGGGGGAGAUGAAAGCGGGAAAACCUGGAAACCAGAUUUCACUGUGGUGACCAGAAUGGACCCGGUCUGCGGGAAAACGUGGAACCCAGAUUUUGCCCGGAAAUGGGCAUGGAUCUGAUAUGGGGACAACCUAGAAAACGGACUCUGCUCAGAAUACCGCAUGGAUAUGGACUAGGGGAAAACCGGGAAACCGGAAUGUAUCUGGUAUGGGGGGAAAGCCAGAAACCGGAUUCUGCUAGAAAACAGGAAUGGAUCCAGGAUGUGGGAAAACCUGAAAACCGGACUUGGUGCAGAAACAGGAAUGGGUCUGGAUUGUGGGAAAAUCCAGAAACCGGAUUCCAUCUGGAAACUGGAAUUGAUCCGGUAUAUGUGAAAACCCAAUAAAUGGAUUUCACCCAGAAACCGGAAUUGAUCCCUUAAGGGGGAAAAGCCCAAAAACCGUAUUUCACCCAGAAACCGGAAUGGAUCUGGUUUGGGGGACAAUCUGAAAACUGGAUUUCGCUGGCAAACCGAAAUUCACCCAGUGCAGGGAAAAACAGGAAAUCAGAUUCUGCCUGGAAAUAGUAGCUGAUAUGGUUUGUGGGUAAACCCAGAAACCAGAAUGGAUCCAGUGUGGGGAAAACCCUGGAAACUGGAUUCCGCCCAGAAACCAGAAUGGAUCUAGUUUGGGGAAAAACAUGGAAACCAGAUUGUGCUUGGAAAAUGCAAUGGAUCAGUUAUGCAGGAAGACCCAGAAAGUGGAACGGAUCCAGUAUGGGGGAAAACCCAGAAAAUGGAUUUUGCCUGAAAAGUGGAAUGGCUCUGGUUUGUGAGAAAACCCAUAAAGCAGAUUCUGCCAGGACACCAGAAUGGAACUGUUAUGGGGGGGGGAGGGGGGGGGGGUGGAAUCUGGAAAAUAGAUUUGGCCUGGAAACCGGAAUGGAUCCAGUAUUGGGGAUAGCCCACGAACAGGAUUCUGCCCAGAAACAGUAGUUGAUGAAUGCCAAACACCUCCUCCAAACUGACUUCACCAAACUAUGGGGGUGAGGUUUUUUCACAGAGAAAUCAUCCACCCUUCUUGUCCAAGGACCUGUGGCUGGGAGCGGGCUUCUGCCUGCAAAAAUACCAAACGGAUGCGGAUUUUUCCCAGAUGCGAACUGCCACCACUUAGAACCCUGGUUGCAUUUGGACUGCACAAUACAAUUUUUAAACUGGGAGGAUGAGUUUUGUUACAGAAAUAAAAGAGUCAGUGUUCUCUUCCAGAGGCCUUUGUCUAGGACUGGUCUUCUGCCUGCUAAAAUUCAGAAAAGAUUCGGGUAUCUCCCAGACUUUAGCUGCUAACACAUGGAACCCUAGAUUCCUUUGGAGUGACAAAGAUCUCCUCUGAACUGAUAAUAGGUAACUGGGGGAGUAAGGUUUUCUUCCACAGGGAAAAGGGCCAAUGUUCUCAUCCAGAGACAUAUGCAUGGGUUAGGAUUUCUGUCUGCUGCAUAUCUUAGAAUCAUGGCUCUUCUUUGAGUGCCAAUUACCUCUUCAAAAUAGACAUUACAAAAGUGGUGAGCUUACCAAAACAUAUGAAGUGAGUUUUACUUCACAGAGAAUUAGGCCACCGUUCAUUUCCAGAGCUCUGUGCCUGAGACUGGGCCUCUACCUGCUAAUAUACAGAACUGCUCAGGAUUUCUCCCAGACACAACCUGCCAGAACUUAGAAGACUGGCUGCCUUUGGAGUUCAAAAUAGUCCCUUUAAACUGCUAUCAGGAGCCUGGGAGGGUGAGUUUUAUUUCAGAGGGAAAAGGGCCAAUGUUCUCAUCCAGAGCCCUUUUCUUAGGACUGGGCUUCUGCCGUCUAGAGUUCUGAAAUAAGCAGGAUAUCUCCCUGAUGUAAGCUGCCACCCACCACUUAGAACCCUGGCUGCUUCUGGAGUGAAAAAUACUGCUUUUAAACUGCUAUCAGGAAACCGGAAGGGUGAGAUUUGUUUCAGAGCAACAAAGGCCAAUGUUCUUUUCCAGGGACCCUUGUCUUGGAGUGGGCUUCUGCCUGCUAAAUUUCCAGAUGAGUCCGGCUGUCUCCGAGACUUGAGGUGCCAUGACGUGUAACCCUGGCUACUUCUGGAGUGCAAAAUGCUGCUUUUAAACUGCUAUAAGGAAACUGGAAAUGGGAAACGGGCCAGUGUUCUUGUCCAGGGCCCAGUGGCUGGGUUUCUCCCUGCUAAAAUGCUGAACAGAUCAGUAUUUCUCCCAGACACAAACUGCCAGCACUUAGAAGACGGGUUGCCUUUUUAGUUCACAACAUUCCCUUUAAACUGCUGUCAGGAAACUGGGAGGGUGAGUUUUGUUUCAGAAGGAAAAGGGCCCAUGUUGUUGUCCCCAGUCCUGUUCCUGUGUUUCUGGCUGCUAAAAUUCCAAAGGGAUCUGGAUUUGUCCAAGACUGAAGCUGUCACCACUUAGAACCGUGGCUGCCUCUGGAGUGACACAUGCUUCCUCCAGGCUGGUAUCAGGUAACUGGGGCAGUUUUUUAUAUUUCACAGAUUUAGCUGGGAAAUGCAUCAACACAAGAUGCAAAUGAAACCUCCAGAGUGAGCAACUGCUCCAUAAAACAAAUUGCUUGCAAGUACAGCCUAAGUAAGCUGGAACCCAAUGCAUGAAACAAAUGUAGCAGCUGAAAGGAACAGCAGCACUUUGGAAGUCACUGUCAAAGGUGGUUUAUUGUUCCUACAUUCCACAGCACCAGGAAGAUUCUGCUUUAUACCUGCGCUGGCUUCAAUAUACUUCAAGUGACAACCCAUUAAAGAUCCUUGUAUUCCAAUAACAGAUAGAAAUUUUCUAACACCUCUAAAGCAUUGGAUUGCUUAUGGUCAGUAGGUUUACAUUUCAGAAUUAAUGACAACAGGAAGGGAUCUUCUGGACCAUAACUCUGUUAGGUAAGGAAUCUUCCUUUUUCUUACAAUUUUAGAAGAGAAAGCAGACGGCCAAACAGAAAACACAAGCACUCAGCUGGCUGCAGUCACUCAGUGUGAUGUGCAACUGAUAGCAGGAAGAGGAUGAUUUCAACACAGCCAGCUCUUCACAUCUAAACAAAUUUAAAAUAGGGUUAUUCUCUUUGAUAAACAGCAACACUUUAAGAAAAAAAAACAACUAUAAGAUACCCUUGAAAAAAAGUGGUAUUAACAUUCCUCCUAGAACUGAGUAUCCUGCCUUUAAGGGCUUGAAGUACUUCUGCUAAGGACCAUUUUCAUUAAUUUCAAAAACAAUCACCAAGAGUUAUCAUCAGAAAGGAAAAACAUUAUGUCAGCUGUAAAUACAUUACUAAGAAAGAAGCUGCCUGGAGACUGACACAUUAAUUCCAUAUCUUAGUUACAACAAGAGUUACCAAGUGUCAGUUAGUUGAGAGAUUUACACAAGAACAGAAGUAAUUCUCUCCCUGGCCUGUGAUCAAAAGAGGAGGAAUAAUAGCAAAGGAGAAUGGU